GAUCUGGUUCAGGAUGAACGCUAGCGAUAGGCUAACACAUGCAAGUCGAGGGGCAGCACGGUGUAGCAAUACACUGGUGGCGACCGGCGUACGGGUGCGUAACACGUAUGCAACCUACCCGCUAUUGGGGGAUAACCCGGCGAAAGUCGGACUAAUACCCCAUAUUAUUCUUACCGGGCAUCCGGUAGGUCUGAAAGAUUUAUCGAUUGCGGAUGGGCAUGCGGAUGAUUAGCUAGUAGGUGGGGUAACGGCUCACCUAGGCGACGAUCAUUAGGGGUUCUGAGAGGAAGGUCCCCCACACUGGAACUGAGACACGGUCCAGACUCCUACGGGAGGCAGCAGUGAGGAAUAUUGGUCAAUGGGCGCUAGCCUGAACCAGCCAAGUCGCGUGAAGGAUGACAGAAUCUAUGGUUUGUAAACUUCUUUUGCAGGGGAGUAAAGUGCGACACGUGUGUUGUAUUGCAAGUACCCCUGCCGAAUAAGCAUCGGCUAACUCCGUGCCAGCAGCAGC
rnacentral:rRNA from 1 species